UACGUAGGGUGCGAGCGUUAAUCGGAAUUACUGGGCGUAAAGCGUGCGCAGGCGGUUCGCUGUGUCCGAUGCGAAAGCCCCGGGCUUAACCUGGGAAUGGCAUUGGAAACUGGCGGGCUUGAGUGUGGCAGAGGGGGGUGGAAUUCCGCGUGUAGCAGUGAAAUGCGUAGAGAUGCGGAGGAACACCGAUGGCGAAGGCAGCCCCCUGGGCUAACACUGACGCUCAGGCACGAAAGCGUGGGGAGCAAACAGG
rnacentral:rRNA from 1 species